rnacentral:rRNA from 1 species
UACGUAGGUGGCAAGCGUUGUCCGGAUUUACUGGGCGUAAAGCGCGCGCAGGCGGAAGGUUAAGUAGGAAGUGAAAGGUUGGAGCUCAACUCCAACACUGCUCCCUAUACUGGCCCUCUUGAGUCCCGGAGAGGAAAGCGGAACGACACGUGGAGCGGUGAAAUGCGUUGAUAUGUGUCGGAACACCAAUGGCGAAGGCAGCUUUCUGGACGGGAACUGACGCUCAGGCGCGAAAGCCGAGGUAGCGAACAGG